CUAAUUAAUACAUUUUUAAAUCAUGGAUUCUGGGCGCCUUGUAACACCCAAAGUCUAGCUCUUAGAAGAAGUAAUGGGGACAAUCCUCUGGUUCAAGACUUAGAAUAAUUAAUAAGGCAGUCAUUCCCAUCCAUCCAAUACCUCCUAAUCCCUAUAUACUCUUAAAAUGGACUCCUUCUGACAGAAACUGGUUCUCAGUACUAGAUUCAAAGCAUGCAAUUUCUACAUACUGGUACAUCCUGACUCUCAAUAUCUGUUUGCAUUUGAAUGGAGAGAAACAGAAGGUGAGGUGGAACAAGUAACUUGGACAGCUUCCGCUGUUUGUGCAAGGAUUAGCCAAGGAUUUAAGAGACCUUAAUUAUAAGAUUGAACAGUAUUACAACAUGUAUAUAAUUCUAACAUGAUCCUCAUCCUGUGAGGCUGCAAAAGAUCAUGUAGAAAUUACUAAAUUUUCUGGCUGAUCAUGGAUUCUGAAUAUCUAAAAACAAACAAAAAGGGCCCAGUUAAUGCAACAUAAAGUAACCUAUUUCUGAGUUAUUUUGUCAAGGGGAACAUUCCUAGUCAAUAAUUAGCACCAUAAAAUAUAUUGCAGUGAUAACAUUGUGCACCAAAAAUAAAUCAAAGUUGUAAAAUCUAUUCUCCUAAUCUAAAAUUCCUAAUAAAUAUUUCAAUAUACCUGAGAGAUGGAUCAUCUCUACAUUCUAUAACUUCAGGAAAGCUAGAAUUUCAGUCAUAGGGUCGCUUUAUAAGUAUUCUCAUAAAAUAGGUUGUUUUAGAAAUAGUGAUAGAUACUCAAAAUGCAAAAUAAUUUAUCUAAAAUUAUGUCAGUAAAAUGAAAAUUAUGUCUCCUUACUCAAAAUCCUUGGCAAAUUAUUCUUUGGUAAAGAGUGAUGAUGAUAUUCUAGACAUAUCAUUAAAUUUCCAUGGAUUAGUUAUUGAAUCUCACAAACUAUGAAGGCUGGGCAUCAUUUUUUUUUUUUCAAAACUGGCUCCAAUUCUAUGUACUCCUCUGUUUCUACUCUUGGAAUCAUGAUUUGCAGGUGUUCUCAACAGGAGACAAG
rnacentral:lncRNA from 1 species